rnacentral:rRNA from 1 species
AAACGCUGGCGGCGUGUCUUAAGCAUGCAAGUCGAGCGGCAGGCGCAGCAAUGCGCUGAGAGCGGCGGACUGGUGAGUAACGCGUGGGUAAUCUACCUUAGGCAUGGGGAUAGCCACUAGAAAUAGUGGGUAAUACCGAAUACGUUCCCUUAGGGAAGCGCUGAGGGAAGAAAGGGUGCUACGGCACCGGCCUGAGAUGAGCUCGCGUCCCAUUAGCUUGUUGGUGAGGUAACGGCCCACCAAGGCGAUGAUGGGUAGCCGGCCUGAGAGGGUGUACGGCCACACUGGGACUGAGAUACGGCCCANACUCCUACGGGAGGCAGCAGCUAAAAAUAUUCCGCAAUGGACGAAAGUCUGACGGAGCGACGCCGCGUGGAUGAUGAAGGCCGAAAGGUUGUAAAGUCCUUUUGCUGGGGAAGAAUAAGUGUGGGAGGGAAUGCCCGCAUGAUGACNUG